rnacentral:ncRNA from 1 species
AUUUCUCACCCAUGUGCUGCUGACGUUGUCAGCGACCAUGCCCGAGCAGUCACGAUCUGUGAGACUGCCACACGGUUUAACGUGUUGAUCGCCCCCUAGAAAUCGCCAAGCUUCCGGUAGCGCGAUUGAUCAAUCCGAAAGGACUGAUGGAAGC